AGAGAUGUGUGAUGACGCAUAUCAAUAAGCGGAGGAAAAGAAACUAACAGGGAUUCCCCUAGUAACGGCGAGUGAAGCGGGAAGAGCUCAAAUUUGAAAUCUUCAAGGUUCUACCUUGACGAAUUGUAGUUUAUAGAAGUGUUUUCCGUUAGUGGAGUGGCAAAAGUUCUUUGGAAUAGGACAUCAUAGAGGGUGAGAAUCCCGUAUUUGGUCAUUCCUCCUAGCGUUGUGAUACACUUUCAACGAGUCGGAUUGUUUGGGAAUGCAGUCCAAAAUGGGUGGUAAAUUUCAUCUAAAGCUAAAUAUUGGCGAGAGACCGAUAGCGAACAAGUAUCGUGAGGGAAAGAUGAAAAGAACUUUGAAAAGAGAGUUAAACAGUACGUGAAAUUGUCAAAAGGGAAGCGUUUGACACCAGUGUUGUUUUUCCGAAAAUCAAUUAUGAAUGUCUUGAUUUUUGAGAGUUCAUGACCUUAAUAGGCUUGUUCUCUAUUUACGCAAUGCCUUUCUUAAUGCACUUUUCGGUUAACAAGUCAACAUCAAUUUCUUUUGUUGUAAAAGGUUAAGAGGAAGGUGGCUUUACUUUUCGGAGUAAAGUGUUUAUAGCCUUGUACCUCUGCAAUCGGAGAGAUUGAGGUCUGCAGCGUAGAUCCUUCGGGGUUAGAUACAUUUGUGCUAAGUUAUAGCUUUUCAUAGACAACUUGUUGACUAUGUUAAGUCUUGUAAUUUACUCGCAGAUGCUAUUUUACCUACGCUUAGGAUGUUGAACUACUGAGACAUAGA
rnacentral:rRNA from 1 species